rnacentral:rRNA from 1 species
GCAGUCGAGCGGAAGGCCCUUCGGGGUACUCGAGCGGCGAACGGGUGAGUAACACGUGAGCAACCUGCCCCAGGCUUUGGGAUAACCCCGGGAAACCGGGGCUAAUACCGAAUAUGACCUCUGACCGCAUGGUUGGUGGUGGAAAGUUUUUCGGCUUGGGAUGGGCUCGCGGCCUAUCAGCUUGUUGGUGGGGUGAUGGCCUACCAAGGCGACGACGGGUAGCCGGCCUGAGAGGGCGACCGGCCACACUGGGACUGAGACACGGCCCAGACUCCUACGGGAGGCAGCAGUGGGGAAUAUUGCACAAUGGGCGGAAGCCUGAUGCAGCGACGCCGCGUGAGGGAUGACGGCCUUCGGGUUGUAAACCUCUUUCAGCAGGGACGAAGCGUAAGUGACGGUACCUGCAGAAGAAGCGCCGGCCAACUACGUGCCAGCAGCCGCGGUAAGACGUAGGGCGCGAGCGUUGUCCGGAUUUAUUGGGCGUAAAGAGCUCGUAGGCGGCUUGUCGCGUCGACCGUGAAAACUUGGGGCUCAACCCCAAGCCUGCGGUCGAUACGGGCAGGCUAGAGUUCGGUAGGGGAGACUGGAAUUCCUGGUGUAGCGGUGAAAUGCGCAGAUAUCAGGAGGAACACCGGUGGCGAAGGCGGGUCUCUGGGCCGAUACUGACGCUGAGGAGCGAAAGCGUGGGGAGCGAACAGGAUUAGAUACCCUGGUAGUCCACGCUGUAAACGUUGGG